GUGUGGAUCGGUGUCUGUUUGACUGGUGUUCCGUGAUGAUUCCACUGAAGCUUGCCCCGCCGCGACGACCUCCCGCGAAACAGCCGAUGUCCUCCGCAAAGCAGAUGCAGUACUUGAGCCAGCAGCAGGUGCAGAUGGCGCGUAUGCUGCAGCAGCACACGCGUGAUCGGCGCACCUACAUUGUCCGCUCCAUCCUGCUCUUCGUUACCCUCACAGUAAUGACGGGCUACGGCUACUAUUCAUAUGGCGUUAUUGUAGCCCUCACCGUUCUCAUCGGUGGAUGGUUGAUGGGAUGGCUGGAGCUCUUGCAGAUUGUGCUCGCAUGGGUGGCCCGCAACGCUGGGCAGCCCAACUUCGAUGAGCUGCUGCGCCGCGCUGACAUCAUGAGUGAGCCGAUGAAGGAAAAGGAGAGCGUCAGCGGGGAGAACGAAUUCCUGGAGUACGGCUCAAGUAGUAUGCAAGGAUGGCGUCGCUCCAUGGAGGACGCGCACACGUUGCUGCUCCUCGAGAAGGGCGGGUUCUUCGGCGUUUACGAUGGCCACAGCGGGGCCGCGACGGCGAAGUACUGCGGCGAGUACAUGUUUCAGUUUGUCCAUCAGACAAAGGCGUUCAUGAAAGGCGAAAUCUCGAAGGCCCUCUACGACGGCUUUAUUGCGAUUGACAAGUAUCUGCACUCUAUCCCGAGUUUUGAGCGCGGCGGGUGUGCAGCUGUCGUGCUCUACUUAGACGGCGAUGACGUGUACUGCGCAAACGCCGGCGAUAGCCGCUGUGUCAUGUGCCGCAACGGCAGCGUCGAUGCGCUCAGCACGGAUCACAAGCCUUUUCUACCAUCCGAGCAGAUGCGCAUCGAGCGCGCCGGCUGCUACGUGCUGAACCGCCGUGUGAACGGUAUGUUGGCUCUGAGUCGCGCCAUCGGCGACUUUAUGUUCAAAAACAACGCGCAGGUAUCGUGGGAGAUGCAGGCGGUGACGAGUGCGCCGGAGGUGCGGGUCACGAAGCUCAAUCGCGACAAGGACGAGUUUGCCGUCUUGGCGUGCGACGGCAUCUGGGAUAUCAUGUCGAGCAAGCAGGUCGUGGACUUUGUGCGGCCGCGCAUCCAGGAGCGUGUGCCACUUGGGAAGAUCUGUGAGGAGCUGAUGGAUGCCUGUCUCUCCCCGCAGCCGUUCCGGCUCGGCUGCGACAACAUGUCUGUUGUCAUCGUGAAGUUCAAGCGCGGACCUCAAGGCGGUGCUCAAACUGCCCAGGCAACCAUCACCGGCUCGCCACAUAUGGUGCCGCCCCGUCUGCCAGCCGCAUCCGCAUCCGUGGCGGACGACGACAGCACCGUCUCCGGCACGAAUGAUACUCGCUCGCACGCCGCCGUGUCGGAGGUGUCCAACGGCGUACUCUUGACACCUGGUACUGCAGGGAAGACAAGCACCGCAGCGGCUGACAAAGCAGCAGCAUCGGGCCAUAAAAAAGAGGGAGUCGGCUCUGUGGAGCCGAAAGAGUCGCCUCUGGUAUCGCCAAAGGUCUCCUCCGCGAAGAUGACCUCAGAGCCUUCCAGAUCUGCGUUGACGAAAGCCUUGCACAGCUCCAGCAGCCAUCAAUCUGGCGCGGAUGCACGUGACAGCCGAGACUGUGAGGACACGUCGAAUGGGUCUUCUGCAGCGAUGAGCUUCCACCCCAAGGUGCUGUCUCCCACCGGGUCCACGCCCGAUUUCAACAUGAGGGACAAGGGUGUUUAGGCGAGGCGUCGCCGCGGACCUGAUACCCAGUGCUAUUGCGUACAGACUUUAUAGGGCUACAUGUAUGCUUCACAGCCCACGUUAUGUGUGUGCGAUUUGCUGAGACGAUGAUCGUGUUACGGAAGGCGGCUCGCAGGUAAGAAGACGAGAGCCUUCGGCCUGCGCGGCUGCGUAUGCGUUUCUGUGUUGAUAGAGACGUGCGGGUGUUGUGGUGUGGUUUCGUGCGCUGGCGCCCGUUGUCGCUGGAGGGCAUAGGAAAGGAUGAGGGAGCUCGUAGAUACAUGUGUGUGCAUCUGUUCUUUUCCUGUAUCGUGAGAGUUGCUGUAUGUCCGCUGCCGAGCGAUGUCCGAUUCGCUUUCUGUUUUGCUUUCUUCGCUAUUCAUCUACCUGUCUUUGUCUGCUUGCCUAUAUUGCUUUCGUGUGAUGUGAAGCACCGGACCCAACCGGCCCCCACCCUCACCCACUUCCUCCUUUUCCAUCAUCUCCCUCUUUCGCACUCUCCUCUCUUCCUCUUUCUAUGCUGCAUCGCAAGCGAAGGGCAUCGCCCACUUAGUGGGUGAACUCUCCAGUACGCCGAAGGCGCGUGCCGGAUUGCUCGCGCGUGCGUGUGUGCAUGCAGUGAAGCGCUGUACUUUCGGGUGCACUCCAGCGCACACUGGCACAGACGCAAUCAAACGACGUGGGAACCCUCCGGUGUUGUGCCUCUCCGGCAAGAAUGAGACAAUAAGACAUUACAAGGUUAGUGACUGCGAGGUGUUUGAGGCACUCCACGGAUGUGGAUCGCCGUCCCCUUCCGCAGCUGUACAAGGGGAAAAGAUGCGGCAAGUCAGAGCUGAGACUUUAACAAGAAUUUAUUCUGUGUGUGUGUGCGGUUGCUGCACGUCUUUUUCGUAUUUUUGGCGUUUUUUUUAUGAGAGCGACGCAUACAGAGUGGCCGGUUCACUUGCAGCACAGACACAGACGCACACACAUAAGAGUACCUUUACCUCAUCGCCUCUUCUUGCAACUUCCACGUGACACAUCUCUCCUCUGUCCGUUGUAGUUGAAGCAGACAGGUAUGUCACGGGCCCUUGUUGUUAACGUCCUCCAACACCUUUUUUUUCCCUCGCCUGCUCGCUCGACAUUGAGAAGGCCGCUGCGUCUUUUUCUUCCUCUAUCUUGCGUGUGUAUGCGUAUGCGUGAUUCUGUACUUGAACUGCAGUGCUCUGGCUGCGUCUCUUCUCUCUUGUGUUUUCGUCGGCAUUUUCGACCCCCUGAUGAACACCGAUGACAGACGUGGGGGAGGGGGCUGCUGCAGUGCUCCGUACGUCACGGUCUUGCACACUCGCUCUGUGUAUGGAGAAGCCAAGCAGCUCCUUCCCACUCCCCCCUCUCGCUGCCGAAUGCCGAGCGGCGUCUGAUGGUGACAGGGUCCAGCACCCACGACCUGGGGGAAGGGAGGGGGUGUCAGAGCGAUGCACCGCUGCUGAUGCCGGCGGUCCUGCCUUGUAUGGCGGUGCAAACUUUUGCACCAUCUAUGUGAUGGGCGACCUGCCAGCGUGACUCGAGCGUAACCCCCCCCCCCCGGCCCUCGCACUGCCUAGAGGUGUGGGGAGAGCCCGAGCCACACCCCGAGGGGGAUGCACCACGAGUGGCGACCGGCACAAGGGGGAGCGGCGGUGAGGCGACCUGCGAGGGGCGGGGUGUAGGUGGGUAGUGUUCGAGGCAGACGCCCUACUCGGGUGAUUGAGUCGGUGCAUUGCUGUAACGCAUGACUAUAGCGCUUCUUCGCACCACGCGGAUGAGGCCCGUGAAAGGCCUGGGCGGGAGGGAGGUUUGACGCUCAUGCACGGUGGCAGAGAGUCGUCACGCCGCAGAGGAGAAAAAAGCAAACUUUGUUUGAAGGUCUGUUCGGUAGCGGUCAGUCUUCGGUUUCUUCCCGAGUUUUCGCCCUCCGCCUUUUUCUUUUUUUUUUUUGUCUGCUCGUUCACUGUUGUGUCUUUUGCUCAUAACAUUCUGCUCUCUCUGCGCCUGUGUCGGGAGCACAUGCCUGGCUGUGCCUGUGUUGGGUGAUGCCGUCGUCUUGUGUUGUAUCGGUCUCGUGCGUGCGGCUUCUACCAGCCGUCGUAACCCUGAAGAUGUGAGGCCUUGACAUGUGACGUUUGUGCGUGCCCUAUUUUUUAUUCUUCGGGGUUGGGGGGGGGGGCUGCUAUCUGUCUGUCUGUGUCCAUCUCUCUCCCUGUGCGGCGGUGGUGAUGGUUUUGGUAGAGAGAUGGAGGAAGGGAGCGGGGAGGGUGCUGUGUCCGUGUGUGUUCUCCCCUCGUUGUCUGCGUAUGCGUGUGUGUCUCUCUCUGUCGCGAGUUUGAGUUUAUGCUUAUUUUUUACUUUGUUUUACUUCCCCCUGCGCUGUUCAUUCCACAAAAACAUGACAGCAAUGAGAAGCACACGCACACACGCACACACCUCUCUAUAUAUACAUCUACAUAUGUAUUAUUUGCAUACAUAUAGAAACGAAGAAGGCGGAAACGAGAUGUGUUUGCUCAUAUCAGGUGCAGGAAGGAGACAACAAGAGAGAGAGAGUCAGGGAACGGGUGGGAAAGCAGGGGCGGUUUCUUCGAUUUCGGCAACACACAAGUACAAAAAAAAGGAAAACAAAGGAGGGAGGUGGAGGAAGAGAAGGAAACCUUUUGUGAGAGCGUGUGUGUGUUUGGGGGGGGAGGGGUACAACGACGCAAGCUCAUGGAGCUGCACAGGCGACGCGGUGUCGUGUACCAAUCACUCAGCUUCACCCAGCAUUUCCCUCAAGACCGAGACACACAGACACACACGCACCCUGGUGCUGCGCGGUGAACGUCGCGCAUGGGGACUGCGCUUUCACCGUUUCCCUUCGCGACGUCCCGCACGUGGCCCCACGGCCACGGACUUCAACGCCCGCUUCCAUGUGAUUUCCCGCCACGCCUUCCUUGUGCCUGCCCACUACUCCCCUUCUGCUCUUUUCCUUUACGGCGCGUCUGUCAUGCGGGACUCGCACGCCCACCACCCGCCCUCUCUUUUGUCGGCCCGCGCGUCCCCGAUCUGUCCAACUCAG
rnacentral:misc_RNA from 1 species